rnacentral:rRNA from 1 species
UGGGGAAUUUUGGACAAUGGGCGAAAGCCUGAUCCAGCAAUGCCGCGUGUGUGAAGAAGGCCUUCGGGUUGUAAAGCACUUUUGUCCGGAAAGAAAUCCUUGGCUCUAAUACAGUCGGGGGAUGACGGUACCGGAAGAAUAAGCACCGGCUAACUACGUGCCAGCAGCCGCGGUAAUACGUAGGGUGCAAGCGUUAAUCGGAAUUACUGGGCGUAAAGCGUGCGCAGGCGGUUUGCUAAGACCGAUGUGAAAUCCCCGGGCUCAACCUGGGAACUGCAUUGGUGACUGGCAGGCUAGAGUAUGGCAGAGGGGGGUAGAAUUCCACGUGUAGCAGUGAAAUGCGUAGAGAUGUGGAGGAAUACCGAUGGCGAAGGCAGCCCCCUGGGCCAAUACUGACGCUCAUGCACGAAAGCGUGGGGAGCAAACAGGAUUAGAUACCCUGGUAGUCCACGCCCUAAAACGAUGUCAACUAGUUGUUGGGGAUUCAUUUCCUUAGUAACGUAGCUAACGCGUGAAGUUGACCGCCUGGGGAGUACGGUCGCAAGAUUAAAGCUCAAAUGAAUUGACGGGGUCAUAGCUGUUUCCU